AAAUUGAAGAGUUUGAUCAUGGCUCAGAUUGAACGCUGGCGGCAGGCCUAACACAUGCAAGUCGAACGGUAACAGGAAGCAGCUUGCUGCUUUGCUGACGAGUGGCGGACGGGUGAGUAAUGUCUGGGAAACUGCCUGAUGGAGGGGGAUAACUACUGGAAACGGUGGCUAAUACCGCAUAACGUCGCAAGACCAAAGAGGGGGACCUUCGGGCCUCUUGCCAUCAGAUGUGCCCAGAUGGGAUUAGCUUGUUGGUGAGGUAACGGCUCACCAAGGCGACGAUCCCUAGCUGGUCUGAGAGGAUGACCAGCCACACUGGAACUGAGACACGGUCCAGACUCCUACGGGAGGCAGCAGUGGGGAAUAUUGCACAAUGGGCGCAAGCCUGAUGCAGCCAUGCCGCGUGUAUGAAGAAGGCCUUCGGGUUGUAAAGUACUUUCAGCGGGGAGGAAGGUGUUGUGGUUAAUAACCACAGCAAUUGACGUUACCCGCAGAAGAAGCACCGGCUAACUCCGUGCCAGCAGCCGCGGUAAUACGGAGGGUGCAAGCGUUAAUCGGAAUUACUGGGCGUAAAGCGCACGCAGGCGGUCUGUCAAGUCGGAUGUGAAAUCCCCGGGCUCAACCUGGGAACUGCAUUCGAAACUGGCAGGCUUGAGUCUUGUAGAGGGGGGUAGAAUUCCAGGUGUAGCGGUGAAAUGCGUAGAGAUCUGGAGGAAUACCGGUGGCGAAGGCGGCCCCCUGGACAAAGACUGACGCUCAGGUGCGAAAGCGUGGGGAGCAAACAGGAUUAGAUACCCUGGUAGUCCACGCCGUAAACGAUGUCUACUUGGAGGUUGUGCCCUUGAGGCGUGGCUUCCGGAGCUAACGCGUUAAGUAGACCGCCUGGGGAGUACGGCCGCAAGGUUAAAACUCAAAUGAAUUGACGGGGGCCCGCACAAGCGGUGGAGCAUGUGGUUUAAUUCGAUGCAACGCGAAGAACCUUACCUGGUCUUGACAUCCACGGAAGUUUUCAGAGAUGAGAAUGUGCCUUCGGGAACUGUGAGACAGGUGCUGCAUGGCUGUCGUCAGCUCGUGUUGUGAAAUGUUGGGUUAAGUCCCGCAACGAGCGCAACCCUUAUCCUUUGUUGCCAGCGGUCCGGCCGGGAACUCAAAGGAGACUGCCAGUGAUAAACUGGAGGAAGGUGGGGAUGACGUCAAGUCAUCAUGGCCCUUACGACCAGGGCUACACACGUGCUACAAUGGCGCAUACAAAGAGAAGCGACCUCGCGAGAGCAAGCGGACCUCAUAAAGUGCGUCGUAGUCCGGAUUGGAGUCUGCAACUCGACUCCAUGAAGUCGGAAUCGCUAGUAAUCGUGGAUCAGAAUGCCACGGUGAAUACGUUCCCGGGCCUUGUACACACCGCCCGUCACACCAUGGGAGUGGGUUGCAAAAGAAGUAGGUAGCUUAACCUUCGGGAGGGCGCUUACCACUUUGUGAUUCAUGACUGGGGUGAAGUCGUAACAAGGUAACCGUAGGGGAACCUGCGGUUGGAUCACCUCCUUA
rnacentral:rRNA from 1 species